CCUACGGGAGGCGGCAGUGAGGAAUAUUGGUCAAUGGACGAGAGUCUGAACCAGCCAAGUAGCGUGGAGGAUGACUGCCCUAUGGGUUGUAAACUUCUUUUAUAUGGGAAUAAAAUGUUCCACGUGUGGGAUUUUGUAUGUACCAUAUGAAUAAGGAUCGGCUAACUCCGUGCCAGCAGCCGCGGUAAUACGGAGGAUCCGAGCGUUAUCCGGAUUUAUUGGGUUUAAAGGGAGCGUAGGUGGAUUGUUAAGUCAGUUGUGAAAGUUUGCGGCUCAACCGUAAAAUUGCAGUUGAAACUGGCAGUCUUGAGUACAGUAGAGGUGGGCGGAAUUCGUGGUGUAGCGGUGAAAUGCUUAGAUAUCACGAAGAACUCCGAUUGCGAAGGCAGUUCACUGGACUGCAACUGACACUGAGGCUCGAAAGUGUGGGUAUCAAACAGGAUUAGAUACCCCAGUAGU
rnacentral:rRNA from 1 species